rnacentral:rRNA from 1 species
UACGGAGGGUGCAAGCGUUAUCCGGAUUCACUGGGGUUAAAGGGAGCGCAGGCGGAUUGGUAAGUCAGUGGUGAAAGGCUUGAGCUUAACUCGGGAACUGCCAUUGAUACUAUCAGUCUUGAAUAUUGUUGAGGUUUGCGGAAUGGGUCAUGUAGCGGUGAAAUGCAUAGAUAUGACCCGGAACACCUAUUGCGAAGGCAGCAGGCUAAACAAAGAUUGACGCUGAGGCUCGAAAGCGUGGGGAUCAAACAGG